UUGACAUCCAGAGAACUUGGCGGAGAUGCCUUGGUGCCUUCGGGACCUCUGAGACAGGUGCUGCAUGGCUGUCGUCAGCUCGUGUUGUGAAAUGUUGGGUUAAGUCCCGNAACGAGCGCAACCCCUAUCCUUUGUUGCCAGCGAUUCGGUCGGGAACUCAAAGGAGACUGCCGGUGAUAAACCGGAGGAAGGUGGGGAUGACGUCAAGUCAUCAUGGCCCUUACGAGUAGGGCUACACACGUGCUACAAUGGCGCAUACAAAGAGAAGCGACCUCGCGAGAGCAAGCGGACCUCAUAAAGUGCGUCGUAGUCCGGAUCGGAGUCUGCAACUCGACUCCGUGAAGUCGGAAUCGCUAGUAAUCGUAGAUCAGAAUGCUACGGUGAAUACGUUCCCGGGCCUUGUACACACCGCCCGUCACACCAUGGGAGUGGGUUGCAAAAGAAGUAGAUAGCUUAACCUUCGGGAGGGCGUUUACCACUUUGUGAUUCAUGACUGGGGUGAAGUCGUAACAAGGUAAGCGUAGCGAG
rnacentral:rRNA from 1 species